rnacentral:rRNA from 1 species
CCUACGGGAGGCUGCAGUGGGGAAUAUUGGACAAUGGGCGAAAGCCUGAUCCAGCCAUGCCGCGUGUGUGAAGAAGGCCUUCGGGUUGUAAAGCACUUUCAGUGGGGAAGAAAGCCUUGGGGCUAAUACCCUCGAGGAAGGACAUCACCCACAGAAGAAGCACCGGCUAACUCCGUGCCAGCAGCCGCGGUAAUACGGAGGGUGCGAGCGUUAAUCGGAAUUACUGGGCAUAAAGCGCGCGUAGGCGGUCUGAUAAGCCGGUUGUGAAAGCCCCGGGCUCAACCUGGGAACGGCAUCCGGAACUGUCAGGCUAGAGUGCAGGAGAGGAAGGUAGAAUUCCCGGUGUAGCGGUGAAAUGCGUAGAGAUCGGGAGGAAUACCAGUGGCGAAGGCGGCCUUCUGGACUGACACUGACGCUGAGGUGCGAAAGCGUGGGUAGCAAACAGGAUUAGAUACCCCGGUAGUC